rnacentral:rRNA from 1 species
UGAGGAAUAUUGGUCAAUGGGCGCAAGCCUGAACCAGCCAUCCCGCGUGAAGGAAGAAUGCGCUAUGCGUUGUAAACUUCUUUUCCGGAGGAAUAAAAUCUUGUACGUGUACAGGACUGAAGGUACUCCGGGAAUAAGCAUCGGCUAACUCCGUGCCAGCAGCCGCGGUAAUACGGAGGAUGCGAGCGUUAUCCGGAUUUAUUGGGUUUAAAGUGUGCGUAGGCGGAUUAAUAAGUCAGUGGUGAAAACCGUCGGCUUAACUGGAGACUUGCCAUUGAUACUGUUAGUCUUGAGUGUGGUUAAGGUAGUCGGAAUGUGUGAUGUAGCGGUGAAAUGCUUAGAUAUUACACAGAACACCGAUUGCGAAGGCAGCUUACUGAGCCAUAACUGACGCUGAUGCACGAAAGCGUGGGGAGCGAACA